UUGAUUUGUACUUCAUUUGGUGUAAUAUAUAAGCUGUGGAAUGUAUAUAUAUUGAUAUUGACCAAUUUUGCUUUUAAAUUUUCUUGCAUUUGUUGCAUUGGCUACAUUUUCGUUCGGAUCUCUCUUAGGCACCCCUCUUAGGCACCCCAAAUAGCAGGAAGUCUCGCGGGAAUUCAAAUUUAACUUUAGACAGACUUUUAUUUCUUUUUUUAAAUGUAACUUUUAAAUAUACAUAUCAAGUUUUUUUUUAUAAAUGAUAAUUGAGGGCAAUAAUAAUAAUUAUUAUGUUUUUUUUUAAUUGUAUAAAAACAUUGAAUAGAAAUAAUUUCGAAAAUAUUUAGGUGUGUUGCUUAAGCAGCAGCUUAUCUUAUUCCUCGACAUUGAUCUUGAGCAGUGAAUUAACGGGAGGUAUAUUUUUUUAUCAAACUCUGCUAUGGAUACUAUUCUAUCGGCUAGAUUAUAGCUUUUUGAAGCAGGGACGAAAAUGUUUGAUUAACUUCGUGGCAAAGUAUUUCCGCGGAUUUAUCACCGAGUGCGGCUUGUGCUGAG